AUCAAUGCGCAUUUGAGAUAGAAAAUCAAGCUGGUCUUGAUUCAUCAGGUGAUUGGGAAAUCCUAGGCCCUAGAUAGGCUCUAUAGCCAAAUGAACUAGUUGUGCACAAUGUGGGGCUACACUGCUGCCGUGAAGAAGAUACGGAGAGUAAGACAGCUGCAUGAAACAGUUGGGAAAUGUCUGGACUAAGAAGACGUGACACCCACAUCAAGACACCGAGGUCUGUUGGAGCCAGGCAGCCUCCUUGUGAGAGGUCUUGGAUUCGUAUCCCAUGGCACAAAACUAUGGAGAGGUAGUCCAAUGAUUCCUAAAUUAUCUUCUUGAUCUGUUGGCCAAACAGGUGCCAAUCUUCGUUGACAGAGGGAUUUUCUUCAAGGGGAGUUCCCUACACCAGCAAAAUCACAGAGAGAGAAGACAGAACAUUCCAGAGAUCACCAGACAGCACAAAAUUAUAAGUCAAGAAUUUCAGAGUUAGAAAGGACCUCAGAAGCCAUCUAGUCCAGUUAUCCUGCAGUACCUGGCAAAUAAUAGUGGUUUAAUAAAUACCUUUGGACUGAUUAAUUCUGGUCCAAUCUGUGCUAGAAAGAAAAUCCACUGUAUCAGACAAGUGUCCAUCCAGCCUCUGCUUGAAGACCUUCAAGAAAGCAAACCUUUUAGGACAGUCUACUCCACUUUUGGACACCCUAAUUGUUAGGAAGCUUGUGUUUUGUUUUCUUCUGUUUCUUGAUAUCAACCUUAAAUUUGCUUCUUUACAACUUCUAUCCACUACUCCUGGUUUUGCCUUCUGGGUCAAAGACAGGAAGUGAAAUCCCUCUUUCAAGUGACUGUCCACCACGUACUUGAAGACAGCUAUCUUGUAUCCAGAACAUCCUCUUCUUUAGGUCAGACAUUCAUGAUUCCUUCAACUAAUCCCCAUAUAAUAUGGAUCC